rnacentral:lncRNA from 1 species
CACAAGUUCAGCAUGGCGUGUGGAGACGUAUCGAAAAUAAAGAGCAAAGAGUGAAUCCCCAUUAUUAUAAUUUUUUCAUUCCUUUUAAUAAAUUCAAAAUCAAACAACUAUAUCAAUGUACUCUAAAAGAUGCAACAACAAAACUCAAGUUCCUAUGUAUGCUACAAAGCUGCAUAUGAUGUUGUCGAGCUUUUCAUGUUAUCUAGGUACAUAUAUUGAAUAUUAUUUGUUAUAGUUUAUUUAAAAAUAAUUUCUUUUUUUUUCUUUCAAAUCGCUAUCAAUAGGAUUCCUUUAAUUUUAUAAUUUGAGUGUUGUGUUUUUGUUUAAUAUUUAAAGAGGUGGUCUAAUAUUUUUUUUUUCAAAUGCAAGAUAUUUCGACUUCAAUUUUUGGAUCAAAAUCAUCUUCAUUGUUUUGCUAACCAUUCAACGAUAAUUUACCGAUAUGUUUGGCAUGAUGAUUGAGAUUACUACUAUUAUAGUUACUACUCUUCUCAACCAAACAUAUAGGUAUUUUGAAAGUAUUAUUCAUUCGAUAAAGAAAAUAUAUAAUUGUUGUUGUUUUUGUAACUUUAUAAGUAAUUAUCAUUUUGUUUUAUUUAAGGGGAAGAAAUAUCUAUCUCCAAUUUCGUCACAUCAAGAACUAACAACAAUGGAUCAAAUCGAAGCAGCAGAAGAUGUGGUUAGUUUUCUUUUUAUUUUUCUUUAAUUGAAUAAUCUAAAUCAUUUGUUGGUUUUGGAAAAGAUAAGAAUGGAUUAGUCUUUUCUUUAAUUUUAGCAUCUUUAUUCUCCAUUUUUUAUAUUUUUUUUUAACUUUUUUUUUUGAAAUAGGAAAAAAUUUAAAAGUCGUAACCCGAUUCGAACUAGGGUUAAUGCCAAUAUUCUCAACCCGGCUUGAGGAGGAUUUGUGAGCCAACGCAUGUAUAAUUUCAUUUUUCAUGCCAUCACUUACUGGCUUAAGUGGAUCUAACGCC